GACAAACGCUGGCGGCGUGCCUAAAACAUGCAAGUCGAACGAACUGGCUUCGGUCAGUUAGUGGCGGACGGCUGAGUAACACGUAGGUAACCUACCCUUGAGUGGGGUAUAACUAUCCGAAAGGAUGGCUAAUACCGCAUACGAUCGCACGACCCUGGCUUGGCGAGGAAAGCCGCGAGCCGCUCGAGGAUUGGCCUGCGGCCGGUUAGCUAGUUGGUGAGGGAACGGCCCACCAAGGCGACGAUCGGUAGCUGGUCUGAGGGGAUGAUCAGCCAGACUGGGACUGUGACACGGCCCAGACUCCUACGGGAGGCAGCAGUUAGGAAUCUUGGGCAAUGGGCGAAAGCCUGACCCAGCAACGCCGCGUGGGUGACGAAGGCCUUCGGGUCGUAAAGCCCUUUUACACGGGAAGAUAAUGACGGUACCGUGUGAAUAAGCCCCGGCUAACUACGUGCCAGCAGCAGCCGCCG
rnacentral:rRNA from 1 species